UACGAAGGGGGCUAGCGUUGCUCGGAAUCACUGGGCGUAAAGCGCACGUAGGCGGAUUGUUAAGUCAGGGGGUGAAAUCCCUGGGAGCUCAACCGAUCCAGUACGUCGUCUUGAUACUGGCGUAUCUGAGUCCGGGAGAGGUGAGUGGAACUGCGAGUGUAGAGUGAAAUUCGUAGAUAUUCGGAAGAACACCAGUGGCGAAGGCGGCACAUGUGCCGUACUGACGCUGAGGUGCGAAAGCGUGGGGAGCAAACAGG
rnacentral:rRNA from 1 species